rnacentral:lncRNA from 1 species
UAUUCUAUCUUCACUCAACUUCCCUCCCACAUCUCAUUAUCUGAUAUAACCCCCCAACUCCCCAAAUAUGUACAUUGAACCACAAAGAAAAACAUUAUCAGACAAACAGAGAGGAAAAAACAGUCAGAGAAGAAAAUUAGAGAAUAACUUAGAAAAAUAAGAAUAACUUAGAAAAAUAAAAAUAAAGAAGAGAAUUAAGAUUGGUCUUCAUUUGAAGUUUCCGGUGAAGGUUUCUUGAUUCAUAUUUCAGAUUCAUAUUUCAGGUUUUAUUUGAUCCUGUAUUUUUAUUCUAUAUAUUUUAUUGAGAAUUAAAUUAUGAAUAAAGUUGUUUCAACAUUUCAUUGAUUAUGUAGUAUAUCUAAUUGUUGCGGUGUUAUGUUUUUAUUUGUAUUAUUACUCGAAUCAAUGAUUAUCGUUUCUUGAAUAUUCAUUGAAUUUAUUCUUAAAGGUUGAGAUAUUCUGUUAAGAUAUAUGUAUGAUGAUUUGAUUUUCAUAGGAAAAAUUGGGAAAAAAAAAGAAGAAAAGGAAAAAAUAUCACACAUUACACCUCACAAUUUGCACACACUACAUCAUACACUCACUGUAAAAAUUCAUUCUUCACCUACUCCAUUUUUCAUGUAUUCACAAUAAAAAAAAUCACGGAAAAGGGAUCCUUUACUUGAUCCACUCACACCACAACACAACUGGUAAAGGCCGCAGUUCGCCAGUUUGAGUCUCAUCAGGUCACUGAAGGCAUUGAAAAUCAGUCACGCAUCCCGGGCCCCGUGAAAUUAGCCGAAGCUCUGCCUUGAAAUAGCGGGGGCCGGUGGGUAUAGCUAGUCGGGUUCGCAGCGAUACCCGGAAACUCGGAUAAAAAAAAUACACACCCAAACUAUUUCACACAUACACAGCAACUCACAAGCACUCAUGGAUACAUAAUGAAAGACGCGGGAGAGGAGAGAAAAAUCAGUGAAAGAAAAAGUAAAAGAGUGAAAAACAGUUAACGGGGGGAAUUUAGCCGGUGGAUUUUGAGUUUUCCGGCGAAGUUUCAGCUCGAAUCAUCCAUCCCUCAUCGGAAUUGGCCAUUUCUCACUGAAAUCUACUGUUCCUCAUUGGAAUCACCCACCGUGACCAAGAUCCACCCAUUACCGGGCACCGGCGACCAAAAUCCGAUCCCGGUGGUUGGUUCCGGCAAUGAGUCGCCGGCAAAAAUAAGGUCACUACUGCUGCCGCCACUUCCCAGCUCCCUCCCUCCUUUCCAUGGCUGCUCCGCCGGGAUUGGUUGCCGACGGACGAGCCUCCAAACCAGUGAAAUACCACUUAUCUUCAGUAGCCCUCCUUCCUCUUCCCUUUUCCCUUUCCGCUGCCGCCGGAUUUAACUCCCGAAUAGCCGGCAACCACCUAAAUGCCAUUACUGGCCACUGUCAGCGGCGAAUAAACCCGAUCCAGCCGUGCCGCCAUGUGUCUCCCUUUUCUUCCCCUUUCCACUACUGUCCAUCAGGAAACUGGCCAAAUCUGGCCGUGUUCCUAUUUUUCGACGAUUGCCGCCCCUUCCUCCGUUUUCGUUCAUGGAGGGUGGGCUUCGGCCAAAGCCACCAACUACAUUCAUCGUCGAAAAAUCUAUAUUCCUACGUCGUGAAAUUGACAUUUUUAUUAAUUAUAGGAAUAAAAUAUGAGAUUAUUUGAUUUUUUUAAUGAAAAAUUAGAAACGUAAUUGAUUUUUAUUUCCAUUGAAUUUUAAUUGAACAAGUGAAAUAUAUUAUUUUAACCUGUGAAUAUAAUAUUUUGACAUGUAAAAGAUAUGUAGAAGUGUUUCUGUUGCUUGUUGGUUUGGUUUGGUUGGAAAUUGGAAUAUGUUAGUACAGGAUUAGUUAGAAUGUAUUAUUUCAGAUUAAUUGGAAUAUGUUAUUUUGACUUGUAAAUAUAAAAUUUUGAUUUGUACAAGAGAGGAAAAAACUAUUUGCAAGGUGCAAGAUAAGUUGCGGAUCAAUCCAAAAGUCAUUAUAAAUUUAAGAAGAAAGAGUGAAAAAAUAGAUAAGAUAAAAUUGUCACGAGUUCGCAAGCAGCAAACCAACACCUUUACGCUAGAAAAAUUUUAGGCAUGUUUAAAAUAUUCAUCUCAGUUUAGAAUGCAUCGUACGUAUUUUUCUGACACAUUUAAAAAUUCAAAGAUGUAAUAUUGCACCUUGGCAAAUAUUUUUCUAAGAUUAACUUUCACCGAUUUGUUUAAUAUAAAAAAAUGUAAACAAAUAUUUUCGGUAUAAUAAAAAUCAGUGAAUUUAGACCUUAACAUAAUUUAUUAAAAUAUAUUAAGUCAAGAUAAGUCAAUAAAAGCGAUCGUGUUAGAACUACGGGACUUGAGGGGUGCCUUAUACCUUUCCCUCGGUCAACAGAAUUUCUUACCAGUCUUCUGUUUUUGCAGACCAUAAUAAAGAGUCAUUUCCUUUUGACUAGAAAUUCAAAAAGGUGAUUUGAAACACGAUAACUCAAUUCCAAGUGGAGACUCUAAAAAUGAUAAAAAUAAUUUCUAUUCAAAACCGUCACUUUAAUUGAAAAAAUUCUUCGACCCCGAUCCUCGGGCGAAAAAGUGGUGUGACUUCUCUGGAGAUUCUGCUGGGGACAUAAGCAGAAUUCAAGCUUUUAAUAUUGACUUUUUUUUGCUUUAAUUAUUUUGAUAUUGUGUUUGUUGGUCGAAUGUACUACUUGUCGCUCAUUUAUUGCUUUAAUAUUGUUAAAUUGUAUUAUAAACUGUCUUCUCUUGCGCACCCUCUUUGAGUCUCUGAAAAUAGGAUAGAAGGAAUGUAGAAUAUGUGUUAGGCGGGGUUUGGAUCAAUAAUAAAGUCGGAGUAGCACUGCUACCAAAUAAGUUGUCCCUCCCCGACUCGAAUGUCUACUCGAGUAAGCCAAUCUAGAUACCUUUCCCCAUCAGGCUAAACUUCGUAGAACUGAAACUCAGAAUCUGAUUAUCCCUAUUAUGUUUUGCUUUAUUUACAUCAUGUGCAUUUGACAUAGCGGGACUCGGCACAGGGGUUGGAUCUGUCUAGGACAGGUGUCUCUCUUUAUAAUGACCAAAAUGUGCAUCCGACGUGCUCUUGACAUUAUUUGAAAAGUCAUUUGAUUGUUGACCGGUUUUAGACAACUUGGUAAAACGCAAUAAAGUAUUUUGUCUUCAAAUUUAACAAAUUAUUUUUCAAGGAAAUUAACAAAUAUAUAUAAUUUUUAAGGUAUUCGUGAACUACGAGGGUCUGAUUCUCACUUUUUAGUGGGAUACGUAGGAAGUCCUUCCCGGGAUACGACCUUGUCUUUUGAAAAAUCAUUCAUAUAUUUAUUAGAGAAUAUUUUAAAACUAUGACUACUUUCAUAAUAAAAAAAAUAUAUAAAUUAUAUAAAUCUUAACAAAUCUGAACCUUUAGGGGUCUUGAGGCUGAGUUUUGUACGAUAUAUAUUUCUAAGAUUGUUUUAUUUUUAUAGAAUACUUAGAUGUAUUUUCUUCCAAAUUCAUGAUUGAAAUUAUAUAGGGGUUUGUCAUUGCAAAAUUUUUGGUAAAGUUGGUCUAAAUAAGUAUAAUUUCUUUAAAAAAAUAUUUUGUUAGUUUUUCAAAAACUACGCACACCUGAUUCUCAUCUUAGUGAGAUAUAAAAAAAGGGAUUGCCUUUCCUUCUAAACAAAAAAGAAGAGAGUUUUAAUAUUUAUAUAAAAAUAAAUUAAUUUGUUUUUGAGAAUUAAAAAAAUGUGUUUUUUUUAAAUUCAAAAAAAUAAAGUCUUUCUCAUUAUUGAAAUAAAAAGUGUGUUUCUUUAUAUCUCCAGUUUUCACGAACUACGCAUGCCGGAUUCUCAUUGUUAUGAGAUACGUAGGCAAUUCAUACUGGGUUUAGUGAUACUCUUAAGAAUUUUUUUUAAAAAUGUCAAGCCUUAACACAUUUGUUAUCUCCAAAAUUAGAAUAGUAUUAAGGUGGUUGGUUUGUGGCUAAAUUGACAUCUCACCCAUACAACAUCAGGUCCAAAGAAUAAGUAAGAUGACCCACAAAAAUGGUAUAAGGUCUGAGAUGAGUUGGUGUAGACUGUUAGAAAUGAGGAAUAAAAAGAAAUAGCUUAGAAUGUGAGAAAUUUGAAGCAAAAUAAGAGAAACAUGCAAAUACUGGAAGAGAAAAAAAAUUUCCUGCAAGGAUUUGUACAUAUUUCACAAUGUUCACUUGUCUCGAGAGUCCAAAACACCAAAGUUGGAUAUGUACGAGGGUCAUGGGGAUCCUUUGGCUCAUCUUAAAAGGUUUUGUAAUUAAUUAAGAGGGGUAUGGGGAAAAAGAAACUGUUGACGGAUUACUUUGGAGAGAGUUUGACGGUGAUAAAUUCAGAAUGGUUGGGGCCAAAAAGAAAAAAAUAGAUGAUGUAGCAAUGAUUGUGGAGACUCCAUUAAGGCCGAUGUGCAAAUUAGUGGCUAAAAUAUUAAGUUCGAUAAUUUAGAAGUCAGUCCUCUCCCCAUAAGGAAGGAGUUUUGAUAGUCUGCUUUAUUUUUCUUUCUACUACCCAAAUUAUUUUAGGAUUGGAGUUUGGGAUCUAUCUUGUCUUAUUUUAUUAUCAUUUCUGUUCUAACCUUUCUAUCUUUCUGUCAACAAAUGUGUGUCCCAUUUAUUUUUAUUUUUCAUUAUAUAUUGUUUGGUUGUCUUUCUUUUCUUUAGAGAGCUCUUUCUAUGAUGAUUCUAGUGAUGUAAUAUGCAUAUUGAAUUCACAGAUCUUUAAAUUCAAUCUAAUCCUGAAAUAUUGAGCCAAGAAGUUAAAAUUGAAAAAAGGAAAUCAUAUAAGAAAAGUAAAGUGUUGAGAUGCUUGAAGACCGAAUUAAAGCCUCACUUGAAUGGAUUGGGGUAAUAAUUUUGUGAAUCAAAAAAUAACUUGGUCAUGAAUGAGAAGGUCCAUCUCAAGCAUUUUGAAUGAAGAUUAAUCGAAGGAUCCAUAGUCUCCACGGUCUAAGAAAUAAAAAAAUAAAUUAGGGCCAAAAGAGCAUGAGUCGUCUAUUGAGAGGAAAGUACAAUACAAGUAGACCUGUAUGGUUCACAAGCUUAAAAGAAGUGACACACGUGUAUGUGCUUAAUCACAUUCAAUGUUGAAAAAAUUGUGUAUGAUCUUCAUGUUCUAUUCCUAGAUUGCAUGUUAUGUACUUGCGUUUUUAAGAAUUGAUAUGACGAAGACAUUUCAUUCUACUAUCCAAAUGUUGUGUCAUCCUUUAUUACCCCUUUUGAGCAUUAGUUUUAUUAUCUUUCAUACCCCUCUUUUGGAAUCAAAAUAGAUUUUUAAAAAGUAAAAAAAUAUAUUAAAAAAAUAAUAGAGUCAGAAAAGUGUCAAGAAAAAAAAAUAGAAUUAGAAAAAAAUAUCUCUCUCCCUCUCUUUCUAAAAAAAGGGAGAAGUGUCAAGAAAAAGAAAAAAAAGUUCAAAAAAAGAAAGAAGAAGAAAUCAAGCAAAAGAAUAAGAUUUCUGAACUAUGUUUGACUUGAUUCUUACUAUGACAAGAUACAUAGGCAGUCCUACUCUGGGUUCGGUCCAACCAAGUAAAAAUUCAAGUUACCUAGUAUGAAAUAAAACUGGGGCAAAGGUUAUGUUCCUUAUGAGACGAUUUCAAAAGUUGUACGUCUCACCCUAUGUAAUGUAUAUUUUGAGUCUUAUGUUGUUCUUUUUUUCUAACCCUAUCUAAAAGCCAAGUUACAAUCAAAGAAAGACCUUCAGAUCAAUCUUGAAGAUGUCAAGGCUAAGCAUGUUAUGGGUAUAUGAUGCUUCAUAUUUUGGGCACCACUUUCCUUCAUCAGCAUAAAAAAAUAUGAGAAAGUGAAAACCCUCCUAGACACUAUAAGGCGAUAAUGAGUUGCAAAAAAAAAAAAAAGAGAGUCGUAUUGGUGAAAACCCUCACAGGAACCAUACGACGACAGUGAGUUGAGAGAAAAUAAAAAAGAUAGAGGCUCGCUGGCAAAACCCAUUUGGGGAACCACUAGCUGAAUGAGGUCCGUAAUCUAGAGGCAACAAGUUCUAGAGCAGCCUCGAUUUCAAACUCAAUAAGUUGAAAAAAGUUGAUAAUGAUUAGUAUGGAUAGAUUAAAUUGUUUAAUUCAAAAUGCAUGUCAUAAUCGUUGUAAUCGGCUACUACAUUCAGAUAAGUUUUUCUUUUUGUUAUUUCGAAAAAAAAAGAUACCUAUUGUCUUUUUCUUUUCUUUUAUUAUUUUUAUUUUUAUAUCUUUGUCACCAAAUGAAAAAUCAUCGUCAUCUUUUGCAUUUUUUUGAGAUGAAUUCACGUCAAGUCAAAUGAGAAAGGGCUUCAAAACUUGCUACCAAUUCUUUCAAUUGUACAAAGCAAGACAAAGGGUUGAUGCACAAAGUUAACAUAUUUUAAAAUAAAGUAAGGUACUCAAGAAUACUUGUUAUCUGACAGUUUUUGGACUCAUAGAAAUAUAAAAGGUGCAUUAGAAGUUAAACCCAGAGGGAUCAUGCAAGGAAAAUGGGAUUUGAGUCAAAUACUUUCAGUAACCAGAAUUUGGGGUCAAUAGUACAACAAGCCAACAAUACCUAUAAAUGAUUUGCAAUGGAUCUGGCCAUAACAGGUGCAAGAACGGUCGCCUUAAUAGCCAAAUGCCACAAAUCAACCACCGUAUUUUUAAAUUUAAAAGUUUUCUUUGUAUGAAACAAAAUCACAUGUUACCUUUAAAUCAAGGGCUUCAAAGCCUAAAUAUCCAAAUGUGAAAUUCCUCACUUCUGUAAAGGCAAGAUGCAAUAUUGCUGCAUAUGUUAAGUAAUCACAAUCAUGGUGAAAACUCAUCAUCCUGUACCCCUAGGAGACACACUUUCUUUUCUGGGUAUUUCAGAUUUCAUUUGUUAGGUAACACACUCCCUAACUUGAACCAUUACUCCUAGAAGACGCACAUUCAAGUCGAGUCAUUUCAUUUAACCCCUAGGAGACACACUUCCUUGCCUGGGUAAUUUAAGUUUCAUUUGUUAGGUGACACACUUCCUAACUUUAACCUUUGCUCCUAGAAGAUGCACUUUUUAGUUGAGUCAUUUCAUUUAACUCCAAGGAGACGCACUUCCUUGUCUAGGUGUUUUAGUUUUCAUUCGUUAGAUGACAUAUUUCCUAACUUGAACCUUCACUCCUAGAAGACGCACUUUCUAAUCGAGUUAUUCUAUUUAGCCCUAGGAGAUGCAUUUUCUUGUUUGGGUAAUUCAAGAUUCACUUGUCAGGUAACGCACUUUUUAAUUUAAACCUUUACUUCUAGAAGACACACUUUCUAGUUAGAUUUCUCUACGUUAACUCUUAGGAGGCACACUUUCUAAUUUUGGUCAUUAGUUUUACUCUAAAGAGACACAUUUCUUUAUCAGGGACUUGAUUCACCAUCUCUACUGUAUUUUUCAAAAGUUGUGACCUGAUAACGCUCAUAAAAUGUUUCUAGUAUAAACUGGGGCAAAAAAUUUUGUUCAUGUUGUUUGUGUUUUACUUUCUGCUCAGGGCCUUUCUGAAUAAUGGGACUUUACUUUCUGGUAGGGCCUUCCUGAAUAAUGGAACUUUACUUUCUGCUCAGGGCUCUCCUGGAUAAUGAGACUUUACUUGAUGCUCAAGGCCCUCCUGGAUAAUGGGACUUUACUUUCUGCUCGGGGCCCUCCUGUAUAAGGGGACUUUACUUUCUGCUCAGGGCCCUCCUGGAUAAUGGGACUUUUCCUUUUUAGUUCACCUUUUACUUUGAGUUCAGUAACACAUUUGGAGAACAUGGUGAAGAAAUUAGAAGUCAGGAGCUCGCUUGAAGAACAGGGUGAAGAAAUAGCAAGUCAGGAGCCCGCCUGAAAAAUAGGGUGAAGAAAUAGCAAGUUAGGAGCUCGCUUGGAGAAUAGAGUGAAGAUUAUCAGUUGCAAGUUCAGGAGCCUGUCUGAAGAAUAGGGUGAAGAUUUUCAAAUUUAAGUCAUAAGAAAGUGUGAAGAACAAGUCAAUUUUUAAGUUUCUCUCCAAUACCAAGAAUAAAAAAAAGAGGAACAUUUCAUUUUUCUAAGAUUCAACUCAAAAUAACGAUUGUCUCACCACUUGAGAAGUCAUGAAGAUUCAAGUCAAGAUUCCAGAAAAAUUAUGCAUAGACAAGAUUUUUCACUUGUAUCUUCAUUUUCAAUUUUGUUAUUCAUUUGAAUGUAAAAGCAGAUUGUCGUGAAUUGGAAGCUCGACGGAACCCCACUCGAGUUCUAACUCAUUGUCUC